rnacentral:rRNA from 1 species
GUAAUACGGAGGUGCGAGCGUUGUUCGGAAUUACUGGGCUUAAAGCGCGUGCAGGCGGAGUGUUAGGUGUCGUGUGAAAGCCCCGAGCUCAACUCGGGAAUGGCAUGGCAAACCCGGCACUCUUGAGGCAGGUAGAGGCGACUGGAACGACUGGUGGAGCGGUGAAAUGCGUAGAUAUCAGUUGGAACGCCGGAGGCGAAAGCGGGUCGCUGGGCCUGUCCUGACGCUGAGACGCGAAAGCGUGGGGAGCGAACAGGAUUAGAUACCCUGGUAGUGCACGCCGUAAACGAUGCGCACUAGGUAUGAAAGGCUCUGACGUCGAUCGUGCCGAAGCUAAAGUGAUAAGUGCGCCGCCUGGGGAGUACGGCCGCAAGGCUAAAACUCAAAGGAAUUGACGGGGGCUCACACAAGCGGUGGAGCAUGUGGAUUAAUUCGAAGCAACGCGAAGAACCUUACCUGGGUUUGACAUGCACGGAUGCCCUUCCUGAAAGGGAUGUAAGCUGCCUUCGGGUGAAACGUGCACAGGUGCUGCAUGGCUGUCGUCGGCUCGUGCUGUGAAGUGUCGGGUUAAGUCCCUUAACGAGCGAAACCCCUAUCGUUAGUUGCCAGCGGGUCAUGCCGGGGACUCUAGCGAGACCGCUGGCGUCAAGCCGGAGGAAGGUGGGGACGACGUCAAGUCAUCAUGGCCCUUAUGUCCAGGGUGUCUCACGUGCUACAAUGGUCGGUACAGAGCGACGCGAUACCGCGAGGUUGAGCAAAUCGCAGAAAGCCGGCCUCAGUUCGGAUUGGAGUCUGCAACUCGACUCCAUGAAGCUGGAAUCGCUAGUAAUCGCGCAUCAGCCAUGGCGCGGUGAAUGUGUUCCUGAGCCUUGUACACACCGCCCGUCAAGUCAUGGAAGCCGGGAGUACCCGAAGUCCGUUUAGCUAACCGAAAGGAGGCGGCGGCCGACGGUAAGACUGGUGAUUGGGACUAAGUCGUAACAAGGUAACC